UAAACUAGGAUUAGAUACCCUAAUAUUUUAAAAAAAUUUUAGGAAAUAAAAAUUUUUUUUUAAACCUAUUUAAAAUGACGGCAUUUAAUUUAAUUAAAGGAAUCUGUUUUAUAAUCGAUAAUCCACGAUAAUUUUUACUUAUAUUAUAAAAUUUAUAUAUCGCCAUCUAAAGAAUUAAUUAUAUAAUAAUAUUCUAAAUAAUAAAAUAAAAAGUUAGGUCAAGGUGUAAUUUACAUUAAAGCAAAUAAUGGAUUACAUUAAAAACAAUUUAAGGAUUUAAUAAAAAAAUUUUUUAAUUAAAAAGAAUUUAAAAGUAAUAUUAUAAUAAUAUUUUAAUAUGAAUUAAAUAAUAAAUGUGUACAUAUCGCCCGUCACCCUUCUCUUAAGAUAAGAUAAGUCGUAACAUAGUAA
rnacentral:rRNA from 1 species